rnacentral:lncRNA from 1 species
GGACCUACAAGUCAGCACAGGACGGUAACAAAGGUACUCCAGAGUAUUUUUGAAAACAGGCUGAGUUCAGCUCGGUUAAAACAGGCUCGCUCACGCCCAUCGAUUGGCCUUUACAGCGACUUCUUUACGCAAGUGACUUCAGACUUGAGCCAUGGGAGCAGCCUAAGUGAGGACACGUUCUCUGCUCAGCGACACGUUAGGGGUUACACACAGAGCGGAGGGCCGGCUGAGAACCGCCCUGCGGAGCGGCUCGGGGAAGUUCGCAGCGCCGGUGUGUGCGGGAGGCAGCUCCGGACAGGGCACACGGCAGUCCCGGGCAGAGCACACGGCAGCUCCGGGCAGAGCACACGGCAGCUCCGGGCAGGGCACACGGCACUCCCGGGCAGAGCACACGGCAGCUCCGGGCAGAGCACACGGCAGCUCCGGGCAGAGCACACGGCAGCUCCGGGCGGAGCACACGGCAGUCCCGGGCGGGGCACACGGCAGCUCCGGGCAGGGCACACGGCACUCCCGGGCAGGGCACACGGCAGCUCCGGACAGGGCACACGGCAGCUCCGGGCAGGGCACACGGCAGUCCCGAGCGGGGCACACGGCAGCUCCGGGCAGGGCACACGGCAGUCCCGGGAGGGGCACACGGCAGCUCCGGGAGGGGCACACGGCAGCCCCGGGCAGGGCACACGGCAGUCCCGGGCAGAGCACACGGCAGCUCCGGGCAGGGCACACGGCAGUCCCGGGAGGGGCACACGGCAGCUCCGGGCAGGGCACACGGCAGCUCCGGGCGGGGCACACGGCAGUCCCGGGCAGAGCACACGGCAGCUCCGGGAGGGGCACACGGCAGUCCCGAGCAGGGCACACGGCAGCUCCGGACAGAGCACACGGCAGCUCCGGGAGGGGCACACGGCAGUCCCGAGCAGGGCACACGGCAGUCCCGGGCAGAGCACAAGGCAGCCCCGGGCAGGGCACACGGCAGCUCCGGGCAGGGCACACGGCAGUCCCGCCGCACCGGCCGCUCCAGAGCGGCCCGGGACGGGGCGGAGGGGCGCGGCCCAUCCCAGCCCAGCCCGGCCCAGCCCAGCCCAGCCUAGCCCGGCCCAGCCCAGCCCAGCCCGCGCCCCCCGCUGCCGCCUGCCCCCCGCAGCACAUGACCAGCCAUGGAGAGGCGCUGGCGCUGCCCGCGGGCUCGGAGCCGGGGGAGCGAGCGGCGGCAGCCGGCCGGGGGCGGCGGCCGGGGGCGGCACAGGCGGGCGGCGGGCAGGUGAGGCGGGCCGGGGGCGGCAGCGCCGGGCGGGCCGGGGCGGCAGCCCUGCCCCGGCAGCCCUACCCCGGCACCCGGUUGGCGGCGGCUGCCCCGGCGGAGGGCGAGCGCGGGGCGGGAGCGACGAGCCGGCCAGCGAAGGGGCCCCUGGGGCUACUGUCGGGGCGCUGCCCGGAGCGGCCGCUGCAGCCGGUGUUCCGUGUUGUGCCGUCCCGGUGGGUUUCCCGUACCCCGACGCAGCGGCUGGAGAUGGGUGCUGA